CGUUUCGAGGAGCGUUGCGACGGCUGACGGCCGCCAGGCUCGAAACGCUUCGAUCGGCGGUGCCGUUUUGCGCGUUCAACGCUUGCGGUCGUCGUCACAACGGCGCUCACGUCUU
rnacentral:ncRNA from 2 species